rnacentral:rRNA from 1 species
UACGAAGGGGGCUAGCGUUGCUCGGAAUGACUGGGCGUAAAGGGCGCGUAGGCGGUUCGUCGCGUCGGCUGUGAAAACCCGGAGCUCAACUCCGGGCCUGCAGUCGAUACGGGCGGACUCGAGUUCGGCAGGGGAGACUGGAAUUCCUGGUGUAGCGGUGAAAUGCGCAGAUAUCAGGAGGAACACCGGUGGCGAAGGCGGGUCUCUGGGCCGAUGACUGACACUGAGGAGCGAAAGCGUGGGGAGCGAACGGG